UACAUACACAGAAACACACCUUGCAGCCCUUACACAUACAAACACAGAUUCACACAAUGCAUUCCUUACACACAAAUCAGGACAUUCCCUACACACUCCAUCCCCUGUGAACAAACCCAUUGGUGGAAAAUGAAGGUGGACCCUGGGACCCAGACCUUGAGCUGUGUAAAGGGCCCCCAAAAAAUGGAGCUGCUUCUCGUUCUCCCAGAACAUUGAUUUGUGUGACCACAGUUACAAACAGCCUCCAGAGAUCCGGUUAUACACCAGACCAGUGGAGCCAGACUGCAGCUAGAGCCC